rnacentral:rRNA from 1 species
GACAGAGGGUGCAAACGUUGUUCGGAAUUACUGGGCAUAAAGCGCACGUAGGUGGUCCGCUAAGUCGCGUGUGAAAUCCCCCGGCUCAACCGGGGAAAUGCGCGUGAUACUGGCGGGCUUGAGAUCGGGAGGGGUGAAUGGAACUCCAGGUGGAGCGGUGAAAUGCGUAGAUAUCUGGAGGAACACCGGUGGCGAAAGCGGUUCACUGGACCGGUACUGACGCUGAUGCGCGAAAGCGUGGGGAGCAAACAGG